rnacentral:rRNA from 1 species
AUUCACCCUUGUCUUUUGCGUACUUCUUGUUUCCUUGGUGGGUUCGCCCACCACUAGGACAAACAUAAACCUUUUGUAAUUGCAAUCAGCGUCAGUAACAAAUUAAUAAUUACAACUUUCAACAACGGAUCUCUUGGUUCUGGCAUCGAUGAAGAACGCAGCGAAAUGCGAUAAGUAGUGUGAAUUGCAGAAUUCAGUGAAUCAUCGAAUCUUUGAACGCACAUUGCGCCCUUUGGUAUUCCAAAGGGCAUGCCUGUUCGAGCGUCAUUUGUACCCUCAAGCUUUGCUUGGUGUUGGGCGUCUUGUCUCUAGCUUUGCUGGAGACUCGCCUUAAAGUAAUUGGCAGCCGGCCUACUGGUUUCGGAGCGCAGCACAAGUCGCACUCUCUAUCAGCAAAGGUCUAGCAUCCAUUAAGCCUUUUUUUCAACUUUUGACCUCGGAUCAGGUAGGGA